GUGAAGGUGAAGGUGAAGGUGAAGGUGAAGGUGAAGGCACUCUUUAUGACAGUUCAUCACCACCCAAGAAGACAAGGAUCAACAGAUGGAGCAGUGCCACAAGAACCUUCAGCACCAGUUCACACAAUUGCAGGGUCAAGUGAAUCUGGUAUAACAGUCCCAGUCCUCAACUCCAGAUUCUACUCCAGAGAAGUCGAGCCUCGCCAGUAAGAACAUGGGAUUAUCUUUUCUCAAGGCCAUUUCAGGAGCCAGAGAAUAUCGAACAUUACAUGUCCACUUUUGAGAGGAUGGCUACAGCGUGUGACUGGCCAAGAUGAAACCAGGGUAACAUUUACAGGUGUUUGAAAUCAAAUUCCGGACCUGGGUUGAGGAGCAUCAUCCAAAGACUUCCAAGGAAGCAACCAAACCUCUGGCAAUGCUCCUGUCUGCUAUUUGUCCGAGGAACCUGAGGAAAGAGGAAGAAGUCACUAUGAGGCCCAGAAUGACAGCAAAGCCCACAGGUUGAAUCUGCAUUGCCACCUGCCUUGACCGAACCUGUUCACUCCUUUCAUUCAGAAGACUUUGUGUAUAUUAAAAUGCACCCAGGAAAAAAUAGCUUGGCACCACAUUGAAAGGGCCCUCUGCCAGUACUGCUCAUCACCCAGACUGCUGUAAAGUGUGAAGGAUAGCCAGCAUGGGUUCACAUAUCCCACUGUUGACUCGCACCUGCACAAGAUAAGGACUCCUAAGAUUCAUCCUCAUCCUAAGUCUCUUGAUCGUCUGCAGCUUCUAGGUCCCCAGGGGAAUUUUGCAGUCUCAUUUGGACUCAGAAGAAGAUAACAGCAGCCCAGACAUCACACUCAAAGUUCUGAAUUUCACUAAUAUCCUUCAUUUUACAAGUUUUUAUAAAGUAUUUUCCUGAGAUACAAUAAAAGAGACCUUUCACAUAUCCUCACCCCCAGACGAACAUUAACACUCACAUGGUGUAUAUGGUAUUAAUACUUAUUUGGCCUUCUCUCACAUUUGGGCCUCUUCAAUGCUUAACUCUUCCUGUUGUAUUUGAACUUGCUUUCACAUUCAGUAAAUACAGGCAUUCCAUCUUUCUCAGCACCAUUUACAUUAAAUGAUUAUAAUUUACCCACUUGGUAAGUUCAAUAUAAUACUUGAACUGUAAUCGAUAUUUGGCCAUUCUUUGUUAUCUUUGUCAUCUCAAGAACUAAUGGUAUUUUAAUCCACAUUUUGACUGUUCUGUCCAUACCCACCUGAAUCUGCUCCAUUUGAUGCCACAACAUAUACAGUAAGCAACAUCAUGUUACUCAGGAUGAAAUCACACAUUUCCAUAUUGGCUCUGAGCAUAAGAGGAAAAUGUGUCUGUUUAGAAACUUGUCAGUGGCUCACACUGGAUGGUUUUGGAAUAAAAAUAAAAAUGCCACUAAGUUUAUGGGAUGGUCACAGUGCAAUGAUUAUGCCCCUUACUGGUGUAUUACUGAAGAAGACUGUUGUACUUCCUUGUCACACUCAGGAACUUGUUCUGAACUGAAUAAAACAACUGUGCAGUGUUAUCCAGCCAAAAUUUAUCAUGGUUGGGGCAUUAAUCCAAAAUCUGUUCUCCAAAUGACUCUUACUAAAGCACUAAUGGCCUUCAAUGAAACUUAUUACGAGUGCUGUCAAAAUGCAUAUUGCUGGUUGCCCACCGGAUGAUGUGGCUCUUGUUAUAUUGCUCAUGUUGUUCCUCAUGUGACUAUUUGUCAAACAUUUCUCUGACGGCCUUCAUGGAACAGAAGAGAGCUUACAAAAGGAUAGACUGUUGCUACUUCUUUUUCCAUCACUUUGGCGUUUUAGCCCUCGACACUACAAUCACUAAUCUUUCUCAUGCACUAGAAGCAGUAGCCAGUUUAACUGCCCGUACGCUCCAACAUCUCACUGCUGAA